rnacentral:rRNA from 1 species
GCGGACGGGUGAGUAAUGUCUGGGAAUCUGCCUGAUGGAAGGGGAUAACUACUGGAAACGGUAGCUAAUACCGCAUAACGUCGCAAGACCAAAGCGAGGGACCUUCGGGCCUCGCGCCAUCAGAUGAACCCAGAUGGGAUUAGCUAGUAGGUGGGGUAAUGGCUCACCUAGGCGACGAUCCCUAGCUGGUCUGAGAGGAUGACCAGCCACACUGGAACUGAGACACGGUCCAGACUCCUACGGGAGGCAGCAGUGGGGAAUAUUGCACAAUGGGGGAAACCCUGAUGCAGCCAUGCCGCGUGUAUGAAGAAGGCCUUCGGGUUGUAAAGUACUUUCAGCGAGGAGGAAGGCRGUAAGGUUAAUAACCUURCYGAUUGACGUUACUCGCAGAAGAAGCACCGGCUAACUCCGUGCCAGCAGCCGCGGUAAUACGGAGGGUGCAAGCGUUAAUCGGAAUUACUGGGCGUAAAGCGCACGCAGGCGGUUUGUUAAGUCAGAUGUGAAAUCCCCGAGCUUAACUUGGGAACUGCAUUUGAAACUGGCAAGCUAGAGUCUUGUAGAGGGGGGUAGAAUUCCAGGUGUAGCGGUGAAAUGCGUAGAGAUCUGGAGG